GCGAUAGUAUGGCUAACCAAGCUUUUCAACCUCAUUUUUCGGGCAAACAAGAUGCCAGAAGAAUGGAGACGGAGUAUAUUAGUACCAAUCUUCAAGAACAAGGGGGAUGUUCAGAGUUGUACUAAUUACCGUGGAAUUAAGCUGAUGAGCCAUACAAUGAAGCUAUGGGAGAGAGUCAUUGAGCACCGCUUAAGAAGAAUGACAAGCGUGACCGAAAAUCAGUUUGGUUUCAUGCCUGGGAGGUCGACCAUGGAAGCCAUUUUCUUGGUACGACAACUUAUGGAGAGAUAUAGGGAGCAUAAGAAGGACUUGCAUAUGGUGUUCAUUGACUUGGAGAAGGCCUAUGAUAAGAUACCGCGGAAUGUCAUGUGGUGGGCCUUGGAGAAACACAAAGUCCCAGCAAAGUACAUUACCCUCAUCAAGGACAUGUACAAUAAUGUUGUGACAAGUGUUCGAACAAGUGAUGUCGACACCGAUGACUUCCCGAUUAAGAUAGGACUGCAUCAGGGGUCAGCUUUGAGCCCUUAUCUUUUUGCAUUGGUGAUGGAUGAGGUCACAAGGGGUAUACAAGGAGAUAUCCCAUGGUGUAUGCUCUUUGCGGAUGAUGUGGUGCUAGUUGACGAUAGUCGGAUGGGGGUAAAUAGGAAGUUAGAGUUAUGGAGACAAACCCUGGAAUCGAAAGGGUUUAGGCUUAGUAGAACUAAAACCGAGUACAUGAUGUGCGCUUUCAGUACUACUAGCUGUGAGGAGGAGGAGGUUAGCCUUGAUGGCCAGGUGGUACCUCGGAAGGACACCUUUCGGUAUUUGGGGUCAAUGUUGCAGGAGGAUGGGGGUAUUGAUGAAGAUGUGAACCAUCGAAUCAAA
rnacentral:rRNA from 1 species